rnacentral:lncRNA from 1 species
AUGUUCAUAGGCGCACUAAAUUUAACUUUAGAAUUAUUUUCUUGGUAUGUGCGUAUACGUAUUAUAAUGAUCAAACUCGCUAACAAUAAUAACUUAUUAGAUCUAAGCUAUCGGUUCAAAAUGCUUAAAUUCAGGCCUCAUAUAUUCAAUAUGGGACUAUUGGAGCAUUACAUAUUCUCCCUAUUUAGACCCUAACGUACUCGUCAGGUCCAAACCCAAAUCAUAGACAUACGGACCAGGUGGCGAUGUGAGAUUUUAGAGGCGACUUCUACAAGUUUAAGAGUGGCGAUGCUCAAUUCUAGAUGUGGCUCCUACAGGUUCAAGAGGUGGUUCCGACCAAAUUUAUUGGUGUAGAACUUUGCCCCGCAUGAUGUAAAAUUCUAGAAGUAGCACCUACAUGUUCAAAAGGUCGUUCUCACCAAAUCCUCUGUUGGUGUAGCACUUUGCCUCACAUAAUGUGAAAUUUCAGAAGUAGCUUUUACAAGUUCAAAAGAUGACUCUCACCAAAUCUGUUAGUGUAGCACUUUACCCCACAUAACACUUAGUUUUCACACUUUCGGCUGGUAUUUGACUCUGAUAUCAAUUAUAAUGAUCAGGGACCUACUACCAAUAAUAACUCGUUGGAUUCAAACCAUCGGCCCAAAAUAUUUAAGUUCAAUUAUUACUAGCAUGUGAGGUCUCAUACAUUCUAAUCAGAAUUAUUUUUUCAUUCGAUAUAGAACUAUUAGGGCACUACACAUGCACAACAGUGAAUCAUGAUAUACUCAUUUUCU